rnacentral:rRNA from 1 species
UUCAACGGCCGCGGUAUUAUGACCGUGCAAAGGUAGCGUAAUCACUUGUCUCUUAAAUAGAGACCAGUAUGAAUGGCAAAACGAAAGCUCAACUGUCUCCCCAGAUUAAUCAAUGAAAUUGAUCUUUCCGUGCAGAAGCGGAAAUAUUUUUAUAAGACAAAAAGACCCUAUGGAGCUUCAAAUUUAAAUUAAUUAUAUAUAUUAAAAAUAUAAUAUAUAAUUUAAUGUAAAAUUUUAGGUUGGGGCGACCGCGGAGUAAACUAUAACCUCCGAGAUAAUAAUCAAGAAAGACAUUUCAAGAUAAUAAAAUAGUUAAUACACUUGAUCCAAUAUUUGAUCAACGAACCAAGUUACCCUAGGGAUAACAGCGCAAUCCCCUUAAAGAGUUCAUAUCGACAAGGGGGUUUACGACCUCGAUGUUGGAUCAGGGCCCCCUAAUGGUGCAGCAACUAUUAAAGGUUCGUUUGUUCAACGAUUAAAGCCCU